rnacentral:rRNA from 1 species
GUGUCAGCAGCCGCGGUAAUACGUAGGUGGCAAGCGUUGUCCGGAAUUACUGGGUGUAAAGCGCGUGUAGGCGGGAGGCCAAGUCUGCUGUGAAAUCGCUCGGCUCAACUGGGCGAGGUCGGUGGAAACUGGUCCCCUGGAGGACGGUAGAGGCGAGUGGAAUUCCCGGUGUAGUGGUGAAAUGCGUAGAGAUCGGGAGGAACACCAGUGGCGAAGGCGGCUCGCUGGGCCGGUCCUGACGCUGAGACGCGAAGGCGUGGGGAGCGAACGGGAUUAGAUACCCUAGUAGUCC